AUUUGACCUCAAAGCAGGUAGGACUACCCGUCGAACUUAAG
rnacentral:rRNA from 1 species